rfam:Triticum aestivum genome assembly, contig: Triticum_aestivum_CS42_TGACv1_scaffold_194500_3AL
UUAGUACUCCCUUCGUCCGGAAUUACUUGUGGCAUAAAUGGAUGUAUCUAGAAUUAAAAUACAUCUAAAUACAUUAAUUUCUCUGACAAGUAUUUCCGGACGGAGGGAGUACUAA